AAAAAAAAAGAAAAGAAAAGUGAAUUUAGUCAGAUACAUCGAAAAGGGCUACCUAUUGUCAAAGGUCAGCGGGCUUGUAUGAGGAACCCGAGCAUAGGUCCGUAGGGGAGUCUUAAUGCCCAACACCUUAUGCCAUCUGGUGUGGGAGUGUUGACUGAAUGCUCACUACACGGCGGAAUCAUUACAAGAGUAAAAGUGCAUAAUUUAUUUAUAAAUACAAAAUAAAAAAAAGAGAAAAAGAGAAAAUAAUAUUGACCUUGAAAAAGACGAUAGUGUGAAAGCUGUCGUUGUAAAAAUUCGAGUAAACUGGAAUAUUACAGAUAAAGCCCAUGAGGUAUUAAAGUAAACAUCCACAACUCUCGAAAUCCUGCAAAGUAGGAUGAUUUUGAAUCAGUGAUUAGGUCUUAUCCGACCAAUUCUUGGAAACUACUAGUUUUAGCAGUAUUUUGGAGAAUCUAAAGCCUUAGCUUGUGUAUGGUCCAGACAUCACCGAGCACCCAAGUAUAAAUUAGCCUUACAAUUCUCUAACAGAAACUUAAUGACUUCAAAUUAAUUUGCAUAUUGACUUAGGAUUUGGGCUAACUUAGUAAUUAAAACUUUGUGUGCUUUUGAAAUUAUUGGCACUUAUGCAAUUAGAUUUUAUAAAACAAUAAAAUAAAUUCUUUCGACAGCAGUUUGUGGGUAUCUGAGCCGGAAACCCUCACGAGACAAAACUCGUCCACUAGGGCCACCUAGGGGUUUAAAGCCUUAUUGCAUAUGGUAAAUGCAAUCGCGAUUCCUGCGAAAGUGAGUUAGUUUUUAUUUUGCUUGAGGAC
rnacentral:lncRNA from 1 species